rnacentral:rRNA from 1 species
GUCCAUGGCCGUGCCACCCUGAACACGCUUGAUCUUGUCUGAUCUCAAAAGCUAAGCAAGGUUGGACCUGGUUAGUACUUGGAUAGGAGACCGCCUAGGAAUAUCGGAUGCUGUAGGUU